rnacentral:rRNA from 1 species
AGUGAAUAGAUACCCAGGUAGUCCCAGCCGUAAACGAUGCUCGCUAGGUGUCAGGCAUGGCGCGACCGUGUCUGGUGCCGCAGGGAAGCCGUGAAGCGAGCCACCUGGGAAGUACGGCCGCAAGGCUGAAACUUAAAGGAAUUGGCGGGGAGCACAACAACGGGUGGAGCCUGCGGUUUAAUUGAACUCAACGCCGGACAACUCACCGGGGGCGACAGCAAUAUGUAGGCCAAGCUGAAGACUUUGCCUGAAUCGCUGAGAGGAGGUGCAUGGCCGUCGCCAGUUCGUACUGUGAAGCAUCCUGUUAAGUCAGGCAACGAGCGAGACCCGUGCCCACUGUUACCAGCAUAUUCUCCGGAAUGAUGGGUACUCUGUGGGGACCGCCUAUGUUAAAUAGGAGGAAGGUGCGGGCCACGGUAGGUCAGUAUGCCCCGGAAUCUCCCGGGGCUACACGCGGGCUACAAUGGAUGGGACAAUGGGUCCCUACUCCGAAAGGAGCUGGUAAUCUCACAAACCCAUUC